rnacentral:rRNA from 1 species
AAGGAAUUUUCGUCAAUGGGGGCAACCCUGAACGAGCAACGCCGCGUGGAGGAUGACGGCCUUCGGGUUGUAAACUCCUUUUGCGGGGGAUGAUUGUGACCGUACCCCGCGAAUCAGGCUCGGCUACCUCUGUGCCAGCAGCCGCGGUAAGACAGAGGAGCCAAGCGUUGUCCGGAGUAACUGGGCGUAAAGCGCACGCAGGUGGUUUGGUGCGUGGGGUGUGAAAGCUCUCGGCUUAACUGAGAGAGGCCACCUCAUACGGCCAAGCUCGAGUCCUGCAGAGGUCCACGGAAUUGCCGGUGUAGUGGUGAAAUGCGUAGAGAUCGGCAGGAACACCCAGGGGGAAACCAGUGGACUGGGCAGGCACUGACACUGAGGUGCGAAAGCGUGGGGAGCGAA